GGGUCUGGAAGCAGGUCGCGAGCUGGUGGGAGUGAGGGCUGCCCCUCCGCCCUGGACCCUCAUGAGAGCCCGUAAUUGUCUUGGCGACAGAUCGUCAGGCAGCAUUCUCGCUCCUCGCAGCCCCAGGGGAGCUCAAGUCUGGAGCCUACCUGACUAGAGAGUAUCACCCCUCGUGUCCUCCAGAGACACUGAGGAGGCAACCUAGUGCAAGGGACGUUCCUCCUGCCCAGGUCCAAGGAUUGGGCUGGGUUAAGGACAAAUGGGAGCCAGUCUUCUUGGCGGUCUCAGGGCCAUCACUGCCACAAGGGCAGAGCCCAAGAAGGACAUGUUAGUGCUGAGCAGGACUCAAGAAUUCAUCUUGCCUCCCCUUCAGGAAGAGCACUGAAGUUUAGAAAGGAUAUGACCUGCCCAAGGUCAUAAAGCCUGGAGGAAGCAGGGCUAGAACCCAGGCUACUUUACUCCCCCUAGUGUUUCCGCCAGGGAUGCAAAGCACCCUAUACAGGGCAGAUCACAGGAUUGCUUAUUGUGGAUUUGCAACAAAGGGUUGAAGUGAAGUAAGGCUGGAUUCUAGGCCCAACACCAAGUGACUCCAGAAGUGAAUGUCAAGUCACUAAACUUGUCUGAGCUUCACUUUAUUCAUUUGCAAGUGGAAGGACUGGACUUGUAACUUAAACACAGCCCUCAUCUUCAUCCCUUCAGCCAGAUUUCUCAUCCUUCUAAAGACCAUCUCCUGUGGUUUCCAAAAUCCCUCCUGAGACUUGUUUGUAUGGAUCAGUUUUGGUUAAACGGGAGAACACUAAGGUGUUCAGGGACUAAAUUGUUCUGUAACACAGAACUGAGAGGAGAGUAAGUCAUUCUAGAGAGAGUUGCAGGAGAGGGGGACCGACUGCAGCGUGUCUCCUGAAGCCUCUUUUAAGAUACAGAGCAUUAACUCCUAAGGAGAGAAGAGAAAAGCAGAUUGAAUGGAAUCAGAUGGACACAUAUGCUUCAGAUCAGAAGACCACAAGAAGAAUAAGGAGGGGCAUCUUGAUCUCACACUGGCAGAAGGUCCCUGAAGAGAUGAAAAAUUGAAGAAAUGAAGCUCAUCGGGGACUACUCUGGGAAUCAUCUAGCCACAUGGCAUGACUCUGAACUGCUACCCAUGUCAGAGACUUCAGGGAGAGGAGAGUGUCCCCAGCAACUAGGAGAUGAACUCACCGGGCACAAGAGGACUGCUGGAGCCUGGGGGUGAGGAGAGAGAGGAUAGGAGCUGCCACAA